UGCGUAGGCGGAAAAUUUAGUCAGUGGUGAAAUCCCGCAGCUUAACUGUGGAACUGUCAUUGAUACUGGUUUUCUUGAAUUUAGUUGAGGUAGGCGGAAUGUGUAAUGUAGCGGUGAAAUGCUUAGAUAUUACACAGAACACCGAUUGCGAAGGCAGCUUACUAAACUAUGAUUGACGCUGAGGUACGAAAGCGUGGGGAGCGAACAGGAUUAGAUACCCUGGUAGUCC
rnacentral:rRNA from 1 species